GUGUGAGAAGGAUCCUGGGAACUUCCAGGGAACAGCCACUCCCAGGAAGGAGCAUGAGGCAGUCAGGCCUUGGGAGCAGCGCAAACCCAGGAGUCAGUCUGCAUCCUGCCUUCCACUGCCUCUUCUCAGGUUUUGCUUCUGGAAAAUAAGAUUCAGGACCCUGCCCAGUUUCCACUCAUCCUUUAUAGGGGGAUGUUCGUGAUCACCACCCUGUGCAUAAGCCUCAGGCCUUGGCUACCUCAAGUUUGGGGUCACCACCCAGGCAAGCAUCACCCUCAACCUCCCCAACUGUUGGUCUUCCAGAGGCUACUGGUAUCUGUAGAUGGAUCUUUCUGAUUCCCUUGGUCGUCCGCAGUUUGAACCAGUCUGUCAAGCUCCUCUCCUUGGGCCGUAUGUGCCUCUCCUACCCCUGCAAUUCCACGUCCCCUUGGAGAUCAUCACACCAUUCACCAUGUCCCGGGUGCUGAAGCGCCGGCCUUCGUGGUAAACCUGGACGUCCACCCUGCCAUGGUCUGUCUGACCAUGAGUAAAAGGCAAGCAGCCUUGCUUCUCUCCUGCCCCUCCACCAAACCCCAGAAGUUUCCAGGAGUCAGGCCGCCAGGACCUCCCUAGCGCAAUGCAAAGUUCCAGGCACAGUAGAUGUUUGUGGAAUUAAGGUGAACCUAAGUGGGACUCAUCCGUUAGGUUCUUUGGUGGCAAGCAAGAGAAUACAACUCUGGCCAAGAAGCUAAAACAAAGGGAAUUGGGGGUUCCUAACAGAGUCGAAGGAAGAGCUAAAGAAGCAGAUGUCGAAAAAGACCAAAACCGGGCAAAGCCUGAGAUUGGAGUCAGAGGAAUUAAGAGACUCUGCCUCUGAGAUAAAUUUCUUCCAGCUGUCUUCCAUCCUUGGGCUCUCUGCUCAAGAUGCAAAUUCUAUGGAGAGAGAGUCCAAUCACACAUGCCCAUCCAGUGGGCAAGGAAUGGUGGGGAAUUCUGAUUGACAAUGCCACCAAGAACGCCAUGCAGUGAGAGAGGGAUGAUACCUCAAGUCAAACAUGGGGUUCUGCACCAAAAGAAGGGGGAAUCAAUGGUGGGGAUGUUAAUAGCAGCAGUCUACUUUGUGUGGACAUCACCAUCCAGAUGACAGAUGUCACCAGAGGGAGAAGUUAUAGCCAUGCAGUAGGUAAAGACCCAGAAGAAAGGAUUGUUCAAGUUCACAAAAACAACGGGG
rnacentral:lncRNA from 1 species